rnacentral:rRNA from 1 species
UACGGAGGAUCCAAGCGUUAUCCGGAAUCACUAGGCGUAAAGCGCAGGUAGGAGGUUUGGUAAGUCUGUUGUGAAAGCUCCCGGCUCAACUGGGAGAGGUCAACGGAAACUACUAGGCUAGAGUGCGGUAGAGGUAGCUGGAAUUCCCGGUGUAGCGGUGAAAUGCGUAGAUAUCGGGAGGAAUACCUAUGGCGAAAGCAGGCUACUGGACCGUCACUGACUCUGAUCUGCGAAAGCUAGGGGAGCAAACAGG